GAGAGGGAGACACAGAAUUCAAAACAGGCUCCAGGCUCCGAGCCGUCAACACAUAGCCCGACGCGGGGCUGGAACCCACGAACCGUGAGAUCGUGACCUGAGCCGAAGUCAGAUGCUUAACCGACUGAGCCACCCAGGGGCCACUCUGGCUUUUCUUUUGAGUAUUACACCUCUUCCCCCCUCUUUCCUCUGUUGGUCUGACUCAGCCCUAUGACUCAUUCCUUAGGUCUCCCAGUGAACAUCACUUUCUAUUUUUUCCUGGGCUAAUAUGUAUUGAACCGUUACUACAAGCACGGCCGGGUGGUUAGCAUUUAUAUGGAUUUUCUCACUUGGGUUUUCUCCAGGACCCUGAGAGGUGGAAACUAUUCUUUUUGUCACUUUACAUAUGUGGACAUUUGAGAUGUAGGUCACGUAGGUGAUCAGAAGUCGAGCCCGGGGACAUCGGACAUCUUUCUGCUCCUCGGCACCUUCGUGGAUCCUUCCAUCCCUGGAAGGCGGCAGCGCUGUGACCUCGCGGUUCCCGAAGCGUCCCAGAUACAGGGUUCGGUGCAUGUGUGUCCAUACAGAGCUGGUUGUGGGGACCAGACAGACUUGGUUCUUAUCUGCGCCUUGCCAUUUAUUGUGACCCGGGAGAGAGACAGAGACAGAGAGAGAACGAGCCGGGGAGGGGCAGAGAGAGAGAGAGAGAGAGAGAAUCCCAAGCAGGCUCCGCACUGUCAGCAGGAAGCCCGAUGCAGGGGUCGAACUCACAAACCAUGAGACCAUGACCUGAGCUGAAACUAAGAGUCAGACGCUUAGCCGACGGAGCCAUCCAGACGCCUCAUGAAAG